rnacentral:lncRNA from 1 species
GCUACAUGCACAUGGCACUGUGUUUUAUCUGUUCUUUUCCCUUGUUCAACACUGUUGGUCUGAAGUAGCUUUGUUUCGUUUUAGGAAUGGUUUUAGGGAAGACUGUUGCCGGAUGACAAGGCUGUCACUAUUGUUCUGUACUACCUGACAUUAUGGGACCAGGCCAGCCAGCUUCAACCUGUGUUCAUCUAGCACCUAGGACCCAACUUGAUGGGAGGAGCGACCCCAAAGUACUUCAGACCCAGAACCAGCUGCAGUUUAAUAGGAAUGUUCCUACACAUUCAAGCAACUUGGCGAUCCGAUAUUCUUGCCCACAUGCCAUUAGAAUUGAAAAACUGAAGCACUCAUACAAUGAAUCAUACCAUUGUAAAGAUGCAGAUUGUAGAGUUGGUCCUGACCUAGGCAGUUCUGUUUCAUUUUCCGUCAUAUCCCAAGAGAGACUUAGCUAUGCUGUCCACCUAGCCAGAAGAGAUGUGAAACGAAGACAAUUUGAAAAACAUAUAAAAGAACAUCAUCUCAGAAGUCAGCCUCAAAGCUCUCAGAAGUGUGGACAUACUAAGUAUAAAAUACCCGACCACAGGGUGGAAAGGAAGGAAUCAAAGAGUCAAGCAGCCUGUCAGUGCAGCCACCAGCCAUCCAAAGUAGAAAUCUCCAGCUCCGGUGCCAAAGUAUACCUUUACUCAUCUCAUCCAGGCCAGUCAGAUCUUACUGUGCCAAAUUCGCCACCCACCCAUGAUCCGGGACUUCAGCCUCAUCCCAGGAUAGGUGACCACAAAAACAUAAGUGAACAGAAAAGCCUGCUAGAAGUCCAGCGACUCCAGAAAGAACUGAGUAGUUGUAUCCACAAAAUUGAAGAGGUAACUAAAAAAGGUGAGAAAAAUUAGAUUCUUUACUUCGACCU